CAAGGUUCCGUAGGUGAACUGCGGAGGAUCAUUAGCGAUUCUGAGGCGGGAGAGCGCAAGGGGGUUCUAGCAUUUCGGAUGUSUGUCGCUGGCUUUCGGGGCAUGUGCACGUCUCGGGAGUGUCUGCCUCGGACCUCCGACCCUCUCCUAUACCUCCCAAACACACCUGUGUGCACCUGUUGUAGGCCUUGUCUAUUAGGCAGACCUAUGUAUUACUUUCAUAAACAUCGCAUGUAUAAAAGAAUGUUUGAACACGAUAUAUAUGAAUAAAUAUAACUUUCAGCAAUGGAUCUCUUGGCUCUCGCAUCGAUGAAGAACGCAGCGAAUUGCGAUAAGUAAUGUGAAUUGCAGAUUUUCCGUGAAUCAUCGAAUCUUUGAACGCACCUUGCGCUCCUUGGUAUUCCGAGGAGCAUGCCUGUUUGAGUGUCAUCGAAAUCUCAAAAUCUCCUAGCUUUGCCUUGUCGGAGCUUGGUUUUUGGACUUUGGGAGUUUGCGGGCGACCCCUUUGCUUUGGGAUGUCGGCUCUCCUUAAAUGUAUUAGCAGUGGGUGCAAGUCCUUUGCAUGGCACGGCCUGUUCGACGUCGUAGUGAUCGUCGCGGGCUGGAAGUGCUUGGAUUGACGUGUCUCAUGCUUCCAACUUUUACAUGCGCCAAGUUUAGUCUAGGCUACUCUAGCGUGUGUCUUGUUCUCUAAGGCUUGUCCUCAAAUCAGGU
rnacentral:rRNA from 1 species